AUUUAUUCCCAAAUGCUUCAGCUUAGCCCGUGGUCCUUUUGCUCCCUUUGCAAAUUCAACAGCUUGCAAUUCAUGAGGUGUGGAGGAAGAGCUCAUUUGAUUUUGGAUCUAGACUACGAGUAUUAGCAACUAGAGAUUAAAGCAAUGGAAUAUAUUUUGGUGGUAGAUCAUUGGAGCCAUAGAUUGAAGACAUUUUUUGGAGCUAUGUUAGUUGAUGGAUUGUUUUAAUAUAUUUUCUUAGGAUGGUGAGUUUGGCAUUUGUGGAACUCUUUGAGAUUGUAUUAGGAGACUUUAUUGUUAAAGUUUUUGUUUUUAUGGAUUUCAUAGGAAAGAUUUUGAUGGUUUGAA